GACGAACGCUGGCGGCGUGCUUAACACAUGCAAGUCGAACGGAAAGGCCCUGCUUUCAGGGUACUCGAGUGGCGAACGGGUGGGUAACACGUGGGUGAUCUGCCCUGCACUUCGGGAUAAGCCUGGGAAACUGGGUCUAAUACCGGAUAGGAGCCAUUUUUAGUGUGAUGGUUGGAAAGUUUUUUCGGUGUGGGAUGAGCUCGCGGCCUAUCAGCUUGUUGGUGGGGUAAUGGCCUACCAAGGCGGCGACGGGUAGCCGGCCUGGGAGGGUGGACGGCCACAUUGGGACUGAGAUACGGCCCAGACAGCGACGGGAGGGAGCAGUGGGGAAGAUUGCACAAUGGGCGCAAGGCGGAUGAAGCGACGCCGCGUGGGGGAUGACGGCCUUCGGGUUGUAAACUCCUUUCGCUAGGGACGAAGCUGUUUGUGACGGUACCUAGAUAAGAAGCACCGGCUAACUACGUG
rnacentral:rRNA from 1 species